rnacentral:lncRNA from 1 species
AGGAUCCCCGCGGGCCGACCGGGGCAGCCCGGGAGCCGAGGUGCGGCGGAGAGCCCGCGGAUCAAAGGAAUCUGGAGAGAAAGGGGAAGCGGGCGGCCGGCCCCGGCCGGCCUUCCCCCCCGCAGGCCACGCCGACCUGGGGUGGGGGGCUGCGGGCCGCGGGCGGGGACUCCGGGAUUUCCCGCCUGCCUGAGUCGGGGCCUACGCCGGCGCCCGCUUCGGGCGGCUCGGCCCGGAGGGGAGCUCCGGAGAGCCCGGGGCUCGCAGGUAAGCACCGGCGCUCCGCGGGCCGGGCCGGGGACGCAGGACAAGGCGCGGGGCCCACCCCGGCUGGCUCGGGAGUGGCGGUCGCGCGGGCCCGGCUCCCGUCUCCGGCGUCUCCCGGCUCCGGCGGCCGGGACCCCCCGCGGCCGAGCCCCUGGCCAGGCCCCAGGCCGGCGCCUUCGGAAGCGACGUCUGGCGGGCCGCGGGGCACGAGGGGGAGAGCCGGGAAGCGUAAAUCCCCGAAGCGCGCGGAGAUCCGAUUAGCGCGCGGCUAUUCAUUAGGCUGGGGGCGAUUGAAUUAGGUCCCUGGGCGCGGUCGCCGGCUGGGGGUGUGUGGCGCCGACCCCCGGGCUCUUGCCGUGGCCUCGGGAGGCUGGAGCAGCGAGCAGCGGCCCCAGCGAGUGUGUCGGGGAAGCGGGUGCCUCCGGGUCCCGGCCCCGCGGGUGCAGGCGGAGGCUGCCCGCUUCCCGCGUACACCGAGGACGGCCGGCCCGGCUCCGGAGAAAUGGCGCUUGAGAAAGGAGGGGAGGGGAAGGUUCCCGGACCCUGGGCAGGGACCCGUCGCCGGGGACCCGCGGAGCCCUCCGGGGAUGGAGGAGGCGCGAGCUGGAAGCGGCGCGCGAGCCCGAGCGCGGGGCUAACACCGUGGGGCCCAGUCUCUCCUGGCUCGGGUAAGUGGACGCGCCCCGAGGCCCCGGGUCCACGCAGGGCGCCCCUCGCAGACGGCGCAUUUCCUACUCUCCUAAGGAACCGAGUUCCCAUCACUGCCUCCGAUGAGCCUGUUUCCGGAUCAGGAACCUUUUUCAAGUUAAUUUUUAAAGCCUCAUUUGAAUUUUUUAAUAUAGGAAAAUACGUAUACGAGAAAAAUCUUGGAUGCAACAAAAAGAACACCGUGGCCACCCGUGGUGUCCCAGAAGUUGCUCUGAGCUCCUCGCAUCAGGGCAGGUGCUCCACCUCUAACCGCCCUGUGGGGGAACGGGAGGCCCCAAGCCCCUGGGAGUCCUGGUCUCCUCUAGAGUGUGUUGGAAGGACAGCCGCUGGAAAGGCCCCUCAGAGCCCCUAAACCAGCCUCCCCUCCCCCGUGGGCAGAUUGUUCGAGGGUCCUGGAGCCUGAAUGAUGGGCCCUCGGCUUGCCCACCCCCAUCCCCAGUCAUCAAUCACCAUUUGAGAAAUGCCCACUGCCAGGGACAUGGGAGGGCAGAGGGUAGCUCGCGGGUGCGUGGCCCCUAUCUCCUCAAGCUGGUUUAGACCCUUCUGGCUCAGCCUCACCAGAUUCCUAGGAUGAGCACUGGCUUCAAAUCCCCCAAGUGCUGGUCCCUUCGUGUCCCCGAAAGAGGCUGCUCGCGUGGGCAAAGGCCCCGAGGCGUCGAGUGCGCCUUCCAGGGCAGUGCGGAAGCUCCCUGCCCUCCUCCUUCCUCCCCACUUCUGCCUCCUCCUCCCCCAGUGUUCACUUGAAGCAAAUUCUAGUGGGCUUUUUUUUUUUCAAUACUGUUUCAAAACAGUUGUUACAGCAAAUAACUGCAGACGGGUCUGCUGGACGCGGUGGAGAGGGGCUGGCAGCUGCCCAGCACAGGCGCCUGGCCGCUGGGCAGCUCCCGCAAUACCAAAAUAAGCUCCCGAGUUCCCCUGGAAGACUUGGGCCGCCGGGAGCUCAGGCUGGCGAUCUGCUCAGAGGAAACCUCCCUACUUUCCUUUUUUACUCUUCCUGCUGUCCAGAGCUAACAAAUGUUUUUAAUUUCAGAGGAACAUGGUGUGGGGAUCUGCAGACUUGCCUUCCACUGGGGAGAGGGCCAGCGAGGGGACAGAGGGGGAGGAAAGGAGAGGGGAUAAUAGACCCGAGGUCAGUGUUGAUGCUGGAGGGCCCAGGUCUCUGAAGUUCCUGCAGCUUUGCAGGUGAGCGGGCUGCAAGUGAGGCUAGGCCUGUGGACACCCAGUGGGGCCUGGAACAGUGCCAGGAGUGGCCUUGAACCCCACCUUGAUCCCUCUCCAGCAGGAUCUGGAGUCACUUCCAUGGGCCUGGCAUACACCACUCCAGAUUUGCCCUCUGGCCUGGGGAGCAGAUAACCCCCCGCCCCACAUAACCAGCUGCGCUCCUACACCUAGCAGGCCGGCUCACAUCACCCUUUAACGCACACUAUAUUCACACACACACUUGUGCACAGUCUUGAAUGUGUGCCCACACAUCUGCCUGCACACACUCAUGUGCCCACAUGUGAAUCACUUGGAAGUGUACACAAAACCAAACCCACAGCACAGAUGGGCAGACAGGUGAGCCUCGUGCAGCAUGUGACACUCCCACAUGCACAAGACAUGUGUGCAGAGGCAUAUCACACACGCAGAAGCACUCCCGAGAACUGCCUUCUCCCUUUCAGCCUAGGGGCCCCUGUUCCCCCACAACCGGGCCCAGCCCUGGAGCCCCCUCCAGCACUCCUCUCCCACCCCCACGCUCCCCAAGAGCAGCAGAUGUAGGUCUCCCGGCUCCCAAACCUCUGAGAUGCUGCUCUGUCUGAAAUCAUCAUAUAAAUAAUCAUUUUUUAAUACAAGGGGGUGGGGGUGUCAGGCAAGUUCCAUGAAAUUGUGAAUUAGCCGCUGCUCCAAAUAAAUGCCUGCUUCGGCCCGAGAGCAGCCGCGCUGCGCCCGCUGCGCCCCCAAUAAUCGUGUGUUGGGUAUCUCUCCAUUGUUCCCUGGGCCAUUAGUCAAAGGGCAAAUUAGAAACAAUUUCUUGACGACAAAAAUUGACUCUUAAUUCUUCCCACCAGAGGCGCAGGGGGACAAGUCCAGAGGCCAGGCCUGAGGCUGGGGCUGGCGGCAGGAGGGGUAGGCGGGGUAGAGGUGGGGUAGAGGUGGGGGAUCUAAGAUGGUUCACAGCACAGAGACCUCCCUCAACUGGAGGGCAGCAGCAGCUCACCCCCACCCCAGAAUCAGUGUUCCAGAGGACAGCUGGGGGCAGGGGGUUAGGAACAAUCCCACUCCCUCCUGGAAGAGGUCCUGACCCCCCACCCCACCCAUCUGCCUGUACGGGUCCCUCUGCUAUCGACUGGGGCGAGUUCUUUUCAUGAGGGCCUUGCCUGGUGCCUGGAGGGAACAGGGUGUGGGGGAAAGGUCUGUGUGUUCCCCCCUCACCUCCCCUGCUCAGCGGUGUGGCCUCUGGCUCUGGGGAGGAUCGGGAAGCCCCAGGGUCCGUGCCUUGGAGUGGGGGGACAGCCUUUUCUCUGCCACAGCUUCUGCCUUUGGAGGCUUACCCUUCCUAGGAGCAGAACUGUUGUGGAGGGGAAGAGGACGGCGAAGGUUCCGAAGGGAAGGGGGCUGCCCCCACUGAAAACGAAGCUUCCAGUCACAGCCCCUUCAUUAUUUAUCAGGACCCAGGGGAUGAGGUGGCAGGGGAGGGGGCUGCAUGGAGGGAGUGCCCUCACCCUCGUCCCCAGCGCCUGCCCCCUCCCGACCAGGCCUGGGCUGAGGCCCAGGGUAAGGGGGCUGAGGCAGGCCACAGAGGAGCAAGACUUGUCAGGGGCCAGACCUGGGUAGGAGGAUUGUCCUCCAGGCACACACGGCCCCCAGCCCCCCAGCCUGUCGAACUGGGCUCUCCCAGAAGGUCCCCGGCUCCAGCCCAAGCAGGGAGCCAGGUUGGGGGUGUGGGAAGGCAGAAGUCCCAGGGAUCCUGGGGGAGGCUCAGGUUGUACCUGAAGGCCACAGUCUCCUCGACAGACCUCGGACGAGGUUGUAAGUGUUUUAAAGAAACUAGAGCAGCAGAGAAGAGAGACUCAGAAGCCCGUGGCACGGCUUUCUCGGCGUCCCCUCCAGCGAGGGGGUCUCCAUUGCUGCAGUUGCCGGUUUUGUCCAACCAGGAGGUUGACCCGAAACAGCCCUCCGUCUUCCUGCCCAUGAGGAUGAGGACAGGAAGCCAGACCCGGGAGAGAAAGCCCAGAUCAGACAGAUGGGGGUUGGGAGGGCCUAGUGGCUGAAACUGCCCUGCUUGGGGACAAUGCUCAGGCAGGACCAAUCCAAACGAGGGCACUGCUUAUGUGGUCCUUCCGGAGCAUCCUCCAAGGCAGAGCCUGGCUUCGGGCCCUCCCUGCAAGGACACCUGCCUCCACUCCCUGCCAGACCAGGCCUGGCUGCAGAGGCGGAGGGGCGGCAGGGCUGCCUGUCUCCACUGUUUGGCGGUGUUUACACGUGUCGCUGUCAGGGUGUCUGGACAGUGGGGGUCGGGGGCCUCCCGGGCCCAGACUUCCCCAGGCCUAUUCUCACACUGGUGAGAGGGCCCUAGGGGAAGGGUGUGGGCUGGGUGGCGGGGCCAGGCCAGCUGAGACCUACAGGACCGUGGAGCAUUUAGGUCUCCCACCCAACUCCACCCGGUCCUCUGAGCAUCAGUUACAGAGCCCAGGCAGCAGGAGGGCAGGGCCCAGCCCCUUAUCACCCAUCCUCAAGGCAGGCAGGAACCCUGAAGGCAGCUUCCACCAGGGGUUCCCUUAGCCCCCACCCUCCAAAAGCCCCAGACCCUGCCAGGCCUCACCCUGCCAGCAUCGUGGCCCCAGCUGACGGCUCCCAAGGGCAGGUGCUGGCAACACAAGCAGGAGCCCUCGGGGCAUCCCGCAGGGCACACACCAGGUCGCCCUGGGCUCCCCAAGCACCUCCCAGACCCAGCCCUUGGGUGGGUCCUGGCCCACAAACCCCCACGCCCUGCCCCUGAGAUGAGCCCCACCGCCCACCUGCCCUCCAGCCCUGGAGACCUUUCUCCCCCUUGGCCAUGGCUCCCAUGGGGAGGCUGCAGGCCCUCCCUGGGCUGGACCAGAGGGGACAGACUGUCUCUCCCCUGCGACUUCUGGGGGCACUGGAGUCCUUGGCCUGGUUACCUUCAGCAUUUAUAGCCCUCCAGUGAGUUAUUCCUCGGAGUUCUCACAGAGCAGCAUGCGCCUGCGGCAAAGCCCUCACCUCCAGCCCCUGGACCACCUGACUGCUGCCUCCCGCCUGGCGCCAAACACGGCCACCGCCUCUUUUGUUAACAGGACAGUUGAUCCAUUAAAUUAAAAAUCAUUCAAUAGAUUCAUUUUUUUUUUCUGGCCUGAACAAAUACGUAUUCCAUCUCAAUUCAUGAAGCAUCAGUACCCGCUGCAGGGGUAAUUCCCCAGGCGGGAGAGGAGUUUCGGGGAAAGUGCCCCCAAAGGGAGACUCCCCAGAAAUCCCUUUCCAAGCAGCCAAGGCAGGCAGGCCAGAGGAGCCUGCCCCGGGCCAGGGCCCAGACCCACGCAGCCGCCCGCUCUCCCGGCCACUUCCGCCGGGGCCUUUCCGAGCGAAGUCCAUUAGGGCCGGGUCUCUGCGCCUCCCCUACCCGGGGUCCGGGCAAUACGCAGCCCCGACCACCGUCCUCGGCCCGGGGGAAGCGCAGACACACACUGGAGGCAUUUUCUUCCCUCCGGAAUUGAUUGGUUUUUGUUUUUGUUUUAAUAGCAGGACUUUUCCAAGCAAAAAGUCUCCUGAGGCGGGUGGUAAAAAAAUCAAAGCCUCUACAUCCAAGCCCGGAACAAAAGCCCUUUGGAAAUCCCGCGGCGGGGCCGGGCGCGGGCGGAUGCGGCGGGAGGGGCGGCCGAGCGCGCCCGGGACCCGCGUCGGGAGAAGCCGCGCAGCGCCUACCGCGGAGGUCGAGUCUCGGCGGCCCCACCUGCUCCGGAGUCGGCCCUGUCCCUCCGUCUGGGGAGGCGGCCGGAGGCGCCAUCACCGCAAAUUUAUGGCCCGGGUGACGCGCUUCCUACUCCCACAGUGGGGCCCGGUGACAUUAAACAGAAAAUUGACGAGAGCGGAGCGAAACCGAAUCCGUUUCCCUCCAGGCCCGUCCCCCUCGCUUUUCGGGGAGGGGACCAGGGACGGGAGGAAGGGCGUCCCUGAGUUUGUGCGCUCGGGAGCCCGUGCUGGAGGCUUCUCCCAGAUUCCAGAGCCCAGGCAGCGUGCUGGGGGCGCGCGACCCCGCCCGGACCGCACCCCUUCGCCGGCCGCAUUUCGGGCGGAACCUCGGCUCGCGUUCCACGCGCUCGGGGCGACCAGGCAGAGUGGGGCCCCGCACCCGGGUCGCUCCCGCUCGGAGGGCCCAGGCCGGAUGAGGCUCCGACGCGCCCUCGGCCCUCCCUCCGCGCCCCAGCUCCGGGGAGCGCCCCGCUGCCUCCAGCACAGCGGGGGAGGGAGGACCCCGGCUGCCCAGCCCCCACCCUCGCCGCCGCGCCCCGCCCCCGGCCGGCGCAAGUGGGAGAAGAGAGCGAGUGACGAGCGGGGCGCGCCUGGGUGGCUGCCGGGGGUCGCUCCUCUGGCCUCGAGCGCCCCCUCCCUCCGCCCCCCGGCGCCUCCUGGCACCGAACCCGCCGCGCCGCCGCGUCCUUAAAAGCGCCGCCUGCUUUGCUGGCCUUUGGGCGCGCGGCAGGGAAGGUCACGCCGGGGUGGGGUCGGUGGCGCGGGGACAGCGACACUGCCGGGCGCCGGCAUACCCCCUACCCCCGCCUCCGCCCCUCCGGGCACUUGCCGCCGCCCUGCAGGCCUGGGUCUUGCCGCACUUGUUCUGUCGUGCUGGGGCACACGGAGCCAAGACCAGAGCCGGCGCAUGUGCUUGUCAGAGAGGAAUCCAGGGAGCCCUGUGGGGGCUGCUUGGGGAAAUGAGGCUGUCAUCCCCGCGCCCCAGGUGCUCAACGGGGAGGAUAAAGGAGCCCUGGCCUGCGGGAGGCAGCCCCAGGGGACGGACGGAGCCCUGGUUCAGAGCCCAGAGAGGGCAUUGGAGGGCCAGGCCUCAGCCAACUCCAUUUCUCCCCUCUCUGGCCUGCGUGGGCAUCGGGGGCAUGGUGGGUACCAGAUCCUACCCUGCCUGCUCAACCCUCUAGACAGCCUGGGACACAGAGGGCAUGGUGGCCAUGCCCAUUUUACAGAUGAGCAGAAGGAGACUGUGAGAGCAAAUAACGUGCCCUUGUUCACACUGAGGGCCUGGGUGCGUAGGCUCUGGAUUCUUCUGGAAAACUAGUACUAGGGUUGGCUGACUUUUGGGCCUGGGACAACCCUAAGACUCCUGGCUGGGGCAGACAUGAUGCGUCCCGACUUCUGCCUUGUAGACCAGGAGCAGAACAAAAUGGGCCUCAUGACCAGCCAUUGGGCGUCUUGGCCACAGCACCCACGGAAAGAUGUGUCAGGGUCCAGCUCUUCCUGGGAAGCCCCUCCGAAUGCUCCCGGCCAGCCUGUUUCUCUGGGAUGAGGCCCCAGCAAGGCAGAUCGCAGCCUGCAGCCGGGAGGAACUGCUAAUAUAUGGCAAGAGUCUGGAAACCAGAUUCCAAAAGGUCACGUUGGACUGGAACCAACAAGAUUACGUUGAACAGGCUGGAUGUGAACCUCCACUUUCAGAGAUUCCUGCUCCCAGCCCAGGCCCAGACGGCAACAGAAGCUCAUGGUGAGUUCACCCCGGUCCUGGUCUGGCACCUCAUUGCUGGGGAGGUCUCGGCAGUCCAGAGGAGGUAGCCCCCACCCUGGGCAUCCAUCCGCCCAGGCCCCAGCCUCCGCGGGAAGACCCAAUUACAGAAGAGAGAAGUAUGUGGAGACCCUUGGCUGAGGUUGGGGGUCCUGGAAGCUGGAGGUAGUGUUCCUGGGUAUAGCAUGAUGGGUUGAUGGGUGGGUUUUAUUCUCUUUUUAAGGAUUUUUUAUAUUUUUCAAAUUUCCCUUUUGAAAUGUAUUCAUUUUGCAAUCAGAAAACAAAACAGGCCAGGCGUGGUGGUUCACACCUGUAAUCCCAGCACUUUGGGAGGCUGAGGCGGGUGGAUCACCUGAGGCCAGGAGUCCAAGACCAGCCUGGCCAACUUGGUGAAACCCCGUCUCUACUAAGAAUACAAAAAUUAGCCAGGCGUGGUGGUGGGCACCUGUAGCCCCAGCUACUUGGGAGGCUGAGGCACGAGAAUCGCUCGAACCCAGGAGGCGGAGCUUGCAGUGAGCUGAGAUCGCGCCACUGCACUCCAGCCUGGGCAACAGAGAGAGACUCUGUCUCAAAAAAAAGAAAACAAAACAAACCAGUGAACACUACUCCAAACAAAUGUCCAGGCCCAGAGAUCAGAGGCUGCAAGGUGGGCUCUGUCCCCAUGUCCCCAGCCACACUGCUGGGGAACCCACAGGGUGCCAGGUCCCCUCAGCCCUGUCCCUGCCCCACAGGCCCCUGGAGUGAUUGUAGGCUCUAGACUGCCUCAGUUUGCCCCCAGCCUCCCCUAGGUGCCCGGGGAGCCACUGGCCAGCCUCCGGUCGCACUCCACUCAGGGCUUGACGGGGAAACAGAAACCAGCCUUGAACGCCUUCCCACGCCCCAAAACGCCAGGGUGCACAGUGAGGGGAGCCCUGGUCAGAUGGCACAGAUGGCAUUCCUGCCCGCGAGAGGCCCAGGACCCCGGGGAGCCAGAGGGGCAGGGUGCCCGCAGCGUCCAGGCAAAUGGGCCCAGGCCCCCCGACACCCAGCUGAGGCCAGCUUCCCCCAGAGCGGUUUGGAGCCCUGCCCUGGAGAGGGGGCAGCUCGCCCAGCGUGGGGGUGAUGCCACCAGGUGGUGAGGCUGCAAGCUGGAAACCCCAUGGGGGCGAGUGGAGCCCUGGGACUCCACAGGAGAGGGUCCUCUGUGACAAGAGGCUCCAGGGGACACAGGCUUGCGAACAUGGGGGCUGGGGUGGGGUCAAGGUAUGAACAGCGCAGGCCUAGAAGCCUCAGACUCUGAGGGGCAGGAAAGAGUCCCCAAAACGGAAUCAGAGGAGGAGCCCGGGGUGGGGGGAGGAGGAAAGGGGCGCAGUGGGCGCUGCCAUCCCUCCUUGGGGCACAUUUCUUCCCGCCCUGACCAAGAGGAAGGGACCCUCCUUCCUCCAGAAAGGACUUCUCCGAGCCCAGGACACACGAGGAAAGCGAGGCUCAGUCACCAGGAAGCCCUCACUCUCCGUCAAGGCCACCAAACGGGAAGAAGGGGAGCCAGGAUUUGAUCCCAGGCUUCCCUCCCAGCCUGCACGCUGCUGCACUACCCAACCCUGAGGACCCCAAGAACCUCUGAGAAUGUGGGAUUUUGGUUCUGAGCCUCCACGGGGCCCGUUGGUGGCCUCUGGUUCAGGACAACCAGAAUUGGCCCAGACAGCCAAGCAGCCAAGGGGCAGGCUUUGUAGAGUGUGGGGGUCUGUCCUCCCUCAUGGCCAGAAGCAGAUCCCACCCCUCAAAUGCAGGUGGGGUGGGGCAGGGGCUCCGGCUCCGUCAUCUGGGCUCCAGUGAGGCUGCCCGCUCCUGCUCACCUGCACAGGAGGCUGAGGGUGGGGCCCUGGGGGAGGGGCUGCCCCAGGCUGUAGUGCCUGGGAGAGCUGGGGGUGGGGAGGGGACAGGCAGGGGGCAGGCAGAUGGCCUUCCUGCUUGGCCCUCGCUGCCAGGUCUUGCUGCCUCCUCCUGUUGGGUGAUUUAGAUCAUUAUAGACCUGAGGUCCCACCAGGUGCAUUGGCUCAUGCCUGUAAUCCCAGCACUUUGGGAGGCUAAGGCGGGUGUAUGACCUGAGGUCAGGAGUUCGAGGCCAGCCUGGCCAACGUGGUGAAACCCCAUCUCUACUAAAAAUACAAAAAUUAGCUGGAUGUGGUGCCGCACACCUGUAAUCCCAGCUACUCAGGAGGCUGAGGCAGGAGAAUCGCUUGAACCUGGGAGGCGGAGGUUGCAGUGAGCUGAGAUCACGCCACACCCCACAGCCUGCAGCCUGGGCGACAGAGCGAGUCUGUCUCAAAAAAAAUAAAAAUAAAUAAAUAAAUAAAACUGAGGUGCAAAGUUUAAAGGUUUGGGUGACACAUCAGAGGCAGACUUGGGGAAGAAGUGUCUGUCCCACCCUCCCAGACCACAUCCUCUAAGGGCUUGGGCCCCGGGGAUGCUGGGUGGCCCCUUGGAACUGUGAGGAGCUGACACAUGGGUGGGGACCAGAGGAGGGGACGUGGAGAGCCCUGGUGAGGAUGUGGGCGCUGGUGGGGACUGCCUGGUGUGUGAUGGGGACAGGAACAGGCAUGGAGAUGGCCCACACCCGAGACAGUGGGCUCCUGGGGCCACCUCUUCUCCACACGGCGGCAGCAGGUCUAGUUCGGGCCUAACAGCCCAGCCAUCCCUGAGAGCCAGCGCCGAGGGUGCAGCAGCUGCCUCCUCUCCGGGCCCACCGGACGGUCGCCGUCCUGCCAGGAGCUCCCGUGCCCAUCGCCAGAGAGGGAAAUGCUCCUUGGUCUCAGGAGGCAGCGGGGCCCGGGACUCACAUGGACCUGGGCCCAAGUCGACCAGUUCCAGCUGGGCACACUGGGAAGGUCACCCACCUCCCGAGCCCUCCAUGUCCAGGCCAUUGUGGGAAAACCCUCUCCAACAGGGGAGUGAAGGGACAGGAUGGAGCGGGAGCGGCGCCAAAGCACGGGGAGAACCAGAGGCCGCAGGUGAGACCCCGCCGUGGGCCAUGUCCCGUCUCUUCCUCUGAGGGCAGGCGUUUCACCCGAUCACCCUCCCGGCUCUCUCGGCCACCCCUGCUUGGGCUUGCUCCUGUCUGGUGUUGGGUGACCUGCCUGCUGCUCUCAGACCCCACACCCGUUUGUGGCCUCAUGGCCAUGAGUGGCCCCGUCCCCGACUCCACUGCAGUGGGCACAGUGGUGGCCCCCAAAUGAUCGGUCCACCUGGAGCCUGUGAACACGACAGGCUUAUUUGGGAAAAGGGUCUUUGUCCAGAGACAAAGGCCCUUAGAAGACAGAGGUCGGGGGAGAUUUGAGAGGGAGGCGACAGAGGCCACGUGAAGAUGAGGCAGAGAUGGGAAUGACACGGCCACGUCCACGGGACACCUGGGGCCACCAAAUGCCAGAAGAGGCGGGAAGAACCUCCCCUGCAGCCUGCAGAGAGAGGACAGUCCUGCCGAUAGCUUGAUUUUGGUUCCGGCCACCAGGACUCGGAGAAAAUAGACUUCUGUUGUUUGCAGCUGCCCCAUUUGUGGUCUUUUGUUGGGUGGCCCCAGACAUAAUCCCAGCACUGGCCUGGCCCGGCCCAUGGGCAGCUGUCCCCAGCCUGGCGGAGGGUGUGGCUGUGAUGUUACCCCCAGGAUAUCCAGUACCGCAGUCUCCAUCUGAGCCGCCAUCGGGCUGUGGGGUGCCUGCUAGCCUGUGGCAGAAGGACCAGGACCUGGGGGCUGGCAGGGAGCAAGAGCUGAGCGAACCAGCUGGGAGGAAGGACUGAGGCCACACCGGUGUCCGGGGGGAUUCGGACGUCACCAGUGUGGAGUCUGGGGGUGUUCUGACUGACUUUAGACAGAAAUUUCUUUUUCUCUCUGGAAAGGGCGGCGGUGGGCCCGUGUGCAGGGGAGCGUGGACUUGGAACUCGGGGAGCCCUGGGUUCUGCCUCAUCCUCUACAUCCCUGUGGGGCCACGUCCACUCACCGAGGGGUUCUUGCCGCCUUGACUGAGGGUGGCCGGGCACCAGCACCUUUGCAGCUUUGCCCAGCACCUUGGCAUGGGGUCGGGGGCGGUGCAGAGUUCUGUUUUACAGGGAAGGGAACUGAGGCACAGGGAGAUGACAGCUCGCCGCUGGUGCUGACCAUGGGCUCACACUGCCUGGCCGCCCGUGCAGCCCCUGCCCUCCAUGACGAACGUGCUCAUGUUUCCUGGCUGCCCCCCGGCCCCACUCCCACCUCCCUGGCUAAACAAGGGAGAUCUUGAUGUGAGUUCUCCUUUUUCCUUUCUGGAAGGAAUGGCAGACUCUGGACAUGCUCCUAGAGAUGGGAGGUCAAAAUGAUCAACGUUCAGGGUCCCUUCAUCUCAGAGGGUCUCGAGUCACCUCAUUUAAAGGUGGGAACUGGGGAUCCUGGAACCUCCCCUGCACCCCAGAUGCUUCUGGGGCCCUUGAGAACUUGCCCUGAGCUGUCACCUGGCCUAGACUCCCAGCCACUUUCAGGGCACAGAGAAACUGCCCUCACUCUGAAAAUGUGGAGACCGGGACCCAGAGAGGUAGAGUGACUUGCCCAUGGCCACACAGCCUGUGAAGGAUGACCAGGUUUGGUCUCCGCCAGCUGUUCUGGCUCUGCUCCUGCAGUCAACAGCCACCACCCC